UCCAAUGAAGCAUUUAUUUAUGUAUUAAUUUUAGAAAUUAAAGAAAGACUUAAUUUCUCUUUGGAA
rnacentral:tRNA from 1 species